rnacentral:rRNA from 1 species
UUGGCAGAAACAAGGCCAAAAAAUACCAACAUGGCCCGCCAGAUUAUUACAAGUAAAAACUUAAAACUCAAAGGACUUGACGGUGUCCCAUAUACAACCUAGAGGAGCCUGUCCUGUAAUCGAUGAUCCACGAAGGACCUCACCACCCUUUGCCCAACAACCUAUAUACCGCCGUCGAAAGUUCACCUUGUGAGAGAGAAAAAGUGAACAUAAUAGCUCAACACUAAUACGUCAGGUCAAGGUGUAGUUAAUAGGGUGGCCAGAGAUGGGCUACAUUUCCUAUAAAAGGAAAAACGAACGGUCAAAUGAAAACUAACCAGAAGGAGGAUUUAGUAGUAAAACAGGAUCAGAAAGCCUGCUUGAACACACUGCCCUGGGACG